UACGAAGGGGGCUAGCGUUGUUCGGAAUUACUGGGCGUAAAGCGCACGUAGGCGGAUCGAUCAGUCAGGGGUGAAAUCCCAGAGCUCAACUCUGGAACUGCCUUUGAUACUGUCGAUCUGGAGUAUGGAAGAGGUGAGUGGAAUUCCGAGUGUAGAGGUGAAAUUCGUAGAUAUUCGGAAGAACACCAGUGGCGAAGGCGGCUCACUGGUCCAUUACUGACGCUGAGGUGCGAAAGCGUGGGGAGCAAACAGG
rnacentral:rRNA from 1 species